UCUGUCUACCAUACCUGGUUGCUAAGGAUCAAAUAUGGAAAUACUUUUUGGAAGACAGGAAAAUACUAUGUCCUUUUAACAAGCUAAACCGUAUUUCUCUGCUGCACAUGAAGAGACUGACGUUUGGAGAGGUUAAGGGACAUCCAAGCUGUUGAGUAGCAAAAUGGAUUCCAGUCCAGUACACUUUUCAGUCUGCGUUCAUAUUGUAACAUACAAGGAAUUAUUUGGGGAUUUCCAGGUGGCACUAGUGGUAAGAACCUGCCUGCAAAUGCAGGAGAUACUGGUUCAAUCCCUGGGUUUGGAAGAUCACCUGGAGGAGAACAUGGCAACCUACUCCAGU
ensembl:lncRNA